rnacentral:rRNA from 1 species
UACGUAGGUGGCAAGCGUUGUCCGGAAUUAUUGGGCGUAAAGGGCUCGCAGGCGGUUUCUUAAGUCUGAUGUGAAAGCCCCCGGCUCAACCGGGGAGGGUCAUUGGAAACUGGGAAACUUGAGUGCAGAAGAGGAGAGUGGAAUUCCACGUGUAGCGGUGAAAUGCGUAGAGAUGUGGAGGAACACCAGUGGCGAAGGCGACUCUCUGGUCUGUAACUGACGCUGAGGCGCGAAAGCGUGGGGAGCGAUCCGG